GUUUCUUCUUCCACUUCCUUCUGUCCUGUGGUUGAGAUGGAGACAUAUCCAGGAACUACAUGUUACAAAGGUGUGAGCAGUGAGUGGCAAGACUCUACACACAAGGUUGAUCUGUGGUGUCUUUCUACUUGACUCAAAGCAGCUGGAACUUACAGAGGCUCAUGACCAGAAGUUUGAGGAUGGAUGCUCCUUCAACGUCUCAUGGGUGUUAUGGUUUGGAUUCUUGAAGAGGAAAAUACCCACUGAAAUGUCUUGACGACUCACGUACUGCUCCAGCAACAUGGCCGAGGUGUUCUAGUUGAAGGUACUUGGCUUUGGAAGAUGCUGCCCAUCUCUCCAAGAAAGGUGUCUGCCCAGGUCGGCUUUAAUGUUGAACUGGGGACAAGGAGGUCAUCAGGAUGGAUGGAGCUUGUCACAGAGUUGAGGUGUGAGCAUGCUGUCUGACUCUUCGGUGUUGAACAGCAGCACAGAGACACCAGCGACGGUGCUGCAGGGCCUGAGUGAGUAUUUGGAACGCUGCCUGCUGCCAUGGAGUACAUGUGUCUGGACAGAACUUGGAUGUCAUCAUGAAGAUGCAUAGGCAGAUAAGGUUUCUGUAAAGCUCACAGGGUGAUUCUCAGUACUUGCUUAAAUGUGUACGUGUUCAUGUAUGUCUCAAUUUACAGUAACAACAGCACUUGACAUUAAAAUGUAUCAGUGAACUGA